rnacentral:lncRNA from 1 species
GCGUGUGAUAUUUUUCUCUUCCUCUUCGUGUUCAUGUUCUUGUAACUCUCUUUGUGUGACCGGUCAUCUUCUGGAUGAUUUUAUGAAUAAUUUCUUAGUGAGAUCAUUGUGCUCUGAGUGAAGCAUAAGUUGUGAGAGUUUUGUAUAGAGAGUUUCAAGUUUUGAGGGAGAUUUGUGGUCGAAACCUUCGUGGUUCUGUACUGUACUAUUUCUUGCCCAUUUUAAGGGCUUUAUAGUAGAUUCGAGCUAUAUCAUGUGGGAUGCUCAAUGGGAGACUAACCAUUAAAAGCGGUCGCUAAACCUACGGGGCCUUUUGGCCGAAAAAUCCUUGUGUUUUUGUGUUUUAUGAAGUUUUAUGUUUUGAACUUUACAACAAAAUCAUUUUUCAAACGAAAGUCUUUAUUUAGGACCAACAAUGGUAUCAGAGUAGUUUUCAAAUUUUCGUUCCUUGUCUUGCUUCAAACCUAAUUCUUGAGGGUUGAUCUGCUUUAUAAAAUUGUGGAUCUGUAAAGAUUCGUCAUCGAUUUGGUCAAGAAAUUCUCUAUUUGAUUUUUCGAAAAAUCGCCUUAUAAAACCUUGUGGUCUUUGCAAUUCUUGGUUACAGAUUUUUAAUCUAAUCCAUCUUUUUAAGACAAGUUCCUCCUCCUCUCUUAAGACUCCUAGAUUGCCCCCUGCAUUCACGAAUCCUUGAGAGAUCCCUAGAAUCUGAGGGAAGUAGGGUUUGGCGUGAGGAAAUUCGCAAGCAAUAUCUUGAUUAUUACCUAUUUUGCGUUAUAAUACUUAGUGUAUUAUAAUAAAUGUUGCUGCUUUGAAUUUUUUGUUUAGUUCUGCAUAGUAUAAACUGCAUAUUUGUAUUUUAAAUUCUACUUCAUAUUGUAUUGUGAAAAUCAUAAAUGUAAUAUGCAUGUUUUGAAUUCAUAUUGUUU